CAGAGGGCGGACCAGGGAGGCGGUUGGCCCGGGCGGGGCCUGCUCUGCUCGGGCCGCCCCCGCGGCUCCAGCCCCCGGCAGGAGGAGCCUCAGGCGGGCAGCCGAGUAGUGGGGGGCGUGUAAGACAAAGUUGCGUGCGUGGUGUCCGCCCCAAAAGAUCGGCCUCUCAGUUUUAGAGGCCAAUGAAUGAGGCAGGAAGUGAAGGUGGGCAGGAACUAAAGAUGAUGGGCUUGGUGAAGAAGCCAGUCAACUGCCAGGCGGGCUCCGUGAGUAGGAGGGAUUGGAAGAGCUUUCAUUGGAAUGACAGAACAACAACCAACCAGAAGCUUGGACGUGCCUGGGCAAAGUCCUAGUGGGAGGAGGACGAGACAGAAUUCAGAACCUGGCCUGUGAGGGACGUCCUCAACAUAAGCUUGUUUAAUAACAGUUUCUGAGAGCAAAUGGACAUGUUGUCCAAUUCGUCUGUGAAAACCUGAAUAGAUUUUCUUUCG